rnacentral:sRNA from 6 species
AUAUCUCUCCGUACGGGAAGGAUGAGAAGCUUCGACUAAGGUUCGAUUCGAGCGCAGCGAGAACGCGUUGCCGCAGGCAACGACCCGAAGGGCG